rnacentral:tRNA from 2 species
GGCUUUAUAUUCAAAAAUGAUAUUAGACUGCAAUUCUAAAGGUGUAAGUAAAAUAUACUAAGGCCU